CUUGCCUUGUGUUCUUUGCCUCUUUUGCAGUAGGGGAGGUAAUGGGAGGAUUGGUUUGCUGCGAUUUUUCGAUGAGAAAUGCUGUAAGUGGGCUAUAAAUUUCUGUCUGCUUGUUCCCUGGAUGUUGAAGGAGAAAAGGCAGGAAUGAUGGUUACAUCCACGUGGAGGAGAGUGAAAGAAGGAGGGAUCCCAGUGUCCUUUGAAGAUGAGGAGGAGAAAGAGAUGGAAGAAGGUGUAUAUACUCUGAUCUUCUCAUGCAUCAGUAGAAAAGUCUGGAAGAAUGUAAAACUGCACCAGGCAAAAGAAUGGACCUUGCAUUGAUUAUCAUGAUUUGAUAAUCAAGGAACUGGUUGUCUGAAGUCAAGUGGCACAUGAUCUGUGAUAGGGCAAUUUCAAUUAUUCAUGCUAUUGUAGGAGGCAUAUUACCAUGUCUGCUGCUGCUGCUUGUACAGUGUCAAUUCUCUGCUUCUGAUUUUGUUUCUUAGAAGUAACUUUGAAGAUGAAAGUCAAUUCACAGCAUACAAAACUGAAAUCAUGUGCAACCAGGGGGUUAUGCUCAUGCAAAAAAAAUCUUUGAAGAUACCAUUGAGGACUCUGAAAUGACAGCUCCUCAUACCAGGGUGUCUUAGAAACCCAUGUACAAUAAACCAGUGGACUGGAUAAUUUAUUCAGAUUGUGCUGCAGCCCAGUACUUAAAACAGAGGAUGGUGAUGUGUGGGUGGGUGUCUCAACUCUUGUGUCUCCAAGACCACGUUCUCUGCACGCUGUGCAGACCAUCUGAGAAGUCUGUCUUACUAGCAACUCCACACUCUGUCCCCAACAACCAAGCUGCUGAUCCUGAGAAACAGAACUGAGAAACAGGUGUAAACUGACAGGUACAAAUUAGAUGAGACCUUUGAAAUCUGUAAGAGUAAAGACAUCUUUGAACUUGGCAGUGUAUCUUAGGGAACCUAGUGCCCUGAUCAGUUCAGGACAAGGUGGAGCUACCUGCCUCUCAGCAGCCUUUUCCUCUUCUCUUCACUCUGUUAAAACACUGUAUAAGAAGGAAGCCAAAACAUAUUUUGAGAGGUCUCCAAUUCUGGGUAAGCAAGGGACAUGAUUGAAAAUCAUGAUAUAGAUAAAAAAUGCUAUUCCAUCAAGUUUUUCCUGUCCAUCUGUUCUCAUAUAAUCUGUUUUCUUAUAAUAAUAUUACAGCUAAGGAAUUGCAUUUGAAUGAUUCUCGGAAUUGAAGUAGUUGUCACUUCUUUGUGUGGUUUUCCUUCUGUUUCAUUAAAUCUAAUUUCUUGCUCUUACCCUGUCUUUAACAGCCCAACCUCUUAACUUUCCUCUGAGUACUCCUUCAGGCAUCCUUGCUUCUUCCCUUUGUUUUUCUUCUCCUGCUGGAA